ensembl:lncRNA
UUUAGGUAUUCUUUGUAAUUUUAAUUCCAUAAAUUUAGUUUAAAUGCAGACAGUAUUUUGUACUCACUAAAAUCUUAAAUAAAACAUUACAGUACAAUAUAUGCAAAUCAGAAGAGCUUUAAGAUUUUGUAGAAGCAAGCUACACUUUCUUUAGCUUUUUUUUUAAUAUUCAGUUGUUUAUUCAUUUAUUCUUUUUUUAACUGUUGAAGGACCGAAGAGUUAAGACAGCAGUAAACAGUAAAAAGACAACACGGAGCUUGUAAAGCCUGCAGGCCAGCCAAGGAGCACAUUCUAUCACAAACACUAGAGACAGCACGUCACUGUGGGUCUGAACUGAGGCCCCGCCCACUGAUGCCCCGCCCAUCUCCCGAGAGGUGGGUGCUGGUUCCCUUAUGAACACCAGAGGGCGCUGUUACGUCGUAGGCGAAGGGGGGCGGGUGAAGCUACGCGAUGUAGUUCCACCUUCACGAAUAACUGCUUUUAAUGCACAAUUCAGACGGAAAGAGAUGGCGCCUUCGCUUCCCCUGUGAGGAGGGGAAAAGUGUUGGGGAGCGCCACCUAUCGGCUGCGGCUGAUUGUGCCGCACCACAUUUUUCAAGUCUUUACCUGCACAACCAUUGUAUAUGAAUAUUCCACUAUGUUACAAUCUUAUUGAUAAUUGAUGAGAAGAUUUGACUCAAAUUGGAUCUGACUCAUUUAGAGCCCCUGAAAACAGUUGUCUGAAGGUGUCAUCAGCUUCUUACUGUGAACGAUGGUACCCACCAUUUUAAUGCACAACUUUGCAGUCGGAAAAGUCUUCCCAUGAGCGAUGUAUCUGUUUUGGCACCCCCGGGCUGGUUUGAAGUGGCCGUGGCUUUGUUGGCGAAAAAGGUGAUGUCACGUUUUUUGUGCACCAAUCAGAGCCAUUUGAAUAGUCGCACGAAUCAUCGGGUCAAACCAGAGUAACAACACCAUUUAUUCCUAUGAAGAAACACGUGAUGUCGGAAAACCAGGUUUCCGUGGGUUUUAACACCCAGAUAGCUAAUGCUACUAACGUUAGCUUUUCACGUAGCGUUGGUUACUCCCCUUCAAAUUUUACAAGUGACAUAAGACGUUGUCACCAGGAGAGCGUUUUCGCUUUUUCCUCCCCAUCUUGAGCAGUGCACUCCUUUUGGCCUAUCAAGACUGUUAAUGCGUGGAAAUACACACCAGAAAGAGAGAAAGACACGUGAGCUACAACGGCGGGGGGAUGGGGGGCCAACACAGACCAGGUCAACCCACAUCUGUGAGUCCAGACCUCAUGGUGUGACCAGAGGAGCAGAACCCUGGACCUCCACCAGCCUGUGGAGUGCCUUUCAUUAGCUGCAGGAUGGAAGUGAAGAAAGCGCUCUACUAGUACUGCUCUUGAAAGCAACAUAUCCUGCACAUUCCAAUACUACUACUACUACUACAUUUUACCAUUAUCUAUAUUAUGGACUAAUGUUGUUUUUCCGAGCAUUUGACGAGAUUGUUGCUGUGUGAAUUAGGAGCACCCCCCAUGUGCAACGCGGCCUGUGUGAAGAGUGAAAAAGGUAUGAGCUUCAGUGGUUUCCUAAACAAGAAAAGAAAUGUCCUCGUAGUCCAGUUGUUGAAGAUUUAAGAGUCUCGACCUGAGACUUAAAGCCAAACAGCGAUAGGGAAACACAAUUACAAAGGGUUUUUUCUACCUUCCUAAAAUAAAAAUGGGGAUUUCAAAAUCCGAUCUAUUGUGUGAGACAAACGCAGUGGCCCUAGCGAGGCGGAGGGCCUUCCUGGUCUCUCAGGGUCCCCGAGGGUCAACCAGCAACCCCCCCCCCCCCCGUACAGUUCUGGAAGGUAAAACUCACGUCAUGGUAGAAAAAUAUAUCGUCCUGAUGAGAUCUCUCUAGUCAUUUUUCAUUUGUAGUGUAAACGCAUCGUAGUAGCAGCGCAAAGUGACUCAUGAUUAGUACUACUACUACUACAAAACACGUCCUCCCACUACUAUGUUUUUACUCGCACUUAGAAAAAAAAUUAUUGUUAAAAGUUCCGUCUUUCAUUGGCAUCAUUAGGCAACGUUUUUUAUUUAUUCCAGAUACUCUACAAUAUGGUUACGAUGUAAACACCACCCCCAUUGAUUAUUUGACCGUAUCUGCACAAAGUAAAACACAAUGUUACAAGGCAAGUGGCUACUUAAACAUAGAUUUGUUCAUGAGAAAGACAAAAACAAACAAAAUUGAAAUUAUGAAACACACAAGAAAAAAAAAAUCAAGAGAAAAGAGACCUUGCAACACCUGGCAUAAAGUUAUUUUUCAAGAAAAAAAUAGAUUUUGUUCUUCUACAGGUCAGGUGACCUUGUUAAAAAGCUGGUGAUGAUCAGUACUACCCCCCCCCCCCCCCCCCCUGUGAUAUAUCGGCCACCUUUAGCACUUGGAUUGGACUCUUCUACUCGUCACAAACAACAAGCGGCCCAUUUUGAGGAGCUACGCGUACGGGCCGGGAGUUUGGACCCCUUUGAAUUCCUUUUCUACAUUACCUGGGCGGG